rnacentral:sRNA from 1 species
CUGAGGGCUACCGCUACCGCCACUGCUGCGGCAGGGGCGUGGAGGGCAGAGGGCCGCGGAGGCCGCAGUUGCAAACAUGGCUCAGAGCAGAGACGGCGGAAACCCGUUCGCCGAGCCCAGCGAGCUUGACAACCCCUUUCAGCCACCACCAGCCUAUGAGCCUCCAGCCCCUGCCCCAUUGCCUCCACCCUCAGCUGCCUCCUUGCAGCCCUCGAGAAAGCUCAGCCCCACAGAACCUAAGAACUAUGGCUCAUACAGCACUCAGGCCUCAGCUGCAGCAGCCACAGCUGAGCUGCUAAAGAAACAGGAGGAGCUCAACCGGAAGGCAGAGGAGUUGGACCGAAGGGAGCGAGAGCUGCAGCAUGCUGCCCUGGGGGGCACAGCUAGACAUCUCCAUGGAGAUCCCCCAAGAAUUUCAGAAGACUGUAUCCACCAUGUACUACCUCUGGAUGUGCAGCACGCUGGCUCUUCUCCUGAACUUCCUCGCCUGCCUGGCCAGCUUCUGUGUGGAAACCAACAAUGGCGCAGGCUUUGGGCUUUCUAUCCUCUGGGUCCUCCUUUUCACGCCCUGCUCCUUUGUCUGCUGGUACCGCCCCAUGUAUAAGGCUUUCCGGAGUGACAGUUCAUUCAAUUUCUUCGUUUUCUUCUUCAUUUUCUUCGUCCAGGAUGUGCUCUUUGUCCUCCAGGCCAUUGGUAUCCCAGGUUGGGGAUUCAG